rnacentral:sRNA from 1 species
UUUAGAAAUCUCUACUAGCUAAAAUCCUAAUUAUAUGGGCAAAUGUAUUUAAUCGUAAGAUUCUAUCUUAGACCUCUUAUGGACUCUUUAAUUGAUACUUCUUGCAAACUUACCGUAAUAUCACUCAGGUACAUUAAAAUGAGAAGCUAGAUAUGAAGAGAUGAAAGAAGUCGAGUCGACCAAAGCAAGGCGUUUGUACAUGGAAAGAUAUUUCUCUAGAUAUCAUACUUUAGAUCAUAUUAUCAAAAGAUAGGUACGUAGAGUUGUACUGUCCGAUAACACUAUCUUUUGUUUAAUUUUAAAGUCGAUAACAAUCUCAACAUUUAAAUGAUAUUUUGGAAGUUCUAAAGUUCACAAUUGAAAC